rnacentral:rRNA from 1 species
ACACGCAUGACACACUGCAUAUCAAUAAGCGGAGGAAAAGAAACUAACUAGGAUUCCCUUAGUAACGGCGAGUGAAGCGGGAAGAGCUCAAAUUUGAAAUCUUCAAGGUUCUGACCUUGACGAAUUGUAGUUUAAAGAAGUGUUUUCUGUUGGAGUUUUGGUAAAAGUUCUUUGGAAUAGGACAUCAUAGAGGGUGAGAAUCCCGUAUUUGACCAUUUCUUCCAGCUGUGUGAUACACUUUCAAGGAGUCGGAUUGUUUGGGAAUGCAGUCCAAAAUGGGUGGUAAAUUUCAUCUAAAGCUAAAUAUUGGCGAGAGACCGAUAGCGAACAAGUACCGUGAGGGAAAGAUGAAAAGAACUUUGAAAAGAGAGUUAAACAGUACGUGAAAUUGUCAAAAGGGAAGCGUUUGACACCAGUGUUGUUUUCUCGAAAAUCAAUUAAAAAGAGCCGGAUUUUGUGUUGUUAAGACUUUAUCAGCUUACUGCACUUUUUUCUUGUUCUUUUUAAUGCACUUUUCGUUUAACAAGUCAACAUCAAUUUCUUUUGUUGUAAAAGGGUCAUUGGAAGGUGGCUUUCAUUUCGGUGAAAGUGUUUAUAGCCUUUGACCUCUGCAAUCGGAGAGAUUGAGGUCUGCAGCGUAGAUCCUUCGGGGUUAGAUACAUUUGUGCUAAGUUAUAGUUUUUCAUAGACAACUUGUUGACUAUGAUUAAUCAUGUAGCUUACUCGCUUACGCUAUUUUACCUACGCUUAGGAUGUUGAGCGCAUGUCUCUCUCU